CAGAGACUGGCCAUGCUCCAGAUGGGGAUUCUCCGGGCAGCCUGGGUCCCAGAGUGAAGCUGCACAGAGCUGAGCCCCCAGCUGACCUGCAAUGAACACCCAGUGAUCUCCCCUCUCUGGCUCCAGUGUCUUCAGCAGUAACUCAUCAACACAGUACAGUCACAUCACAGGCCCAUCACCUGAGAAGCACCACAACCAGUCUACUCCAGGAAUGAAGAUCUUUCAGCUGCUGAGUGGUGUGGAUGGAUAAAGAGCCUGGCUGACUGGUUUAGGAGACAAUCCAGAUUUAGCAAGAACCUCUGCUUCACAUUUUCAUCUUAAGGAGAGGUCUUCUCUGCUAAAGUCGAAUGGAAAAUGAAAUUACCUGCUAAUUCAGGCAAGAAAAAUCUCAGCUCCCUACUCUCAUAAAUUUGUGAAAAUUGCUUAAAAACAA